AUAACUACUGGAAACGGUAGCUAAUACCGCAUAACGUCGCAAGACCAAAGAGGGGGACCUUCGGGCCUCUUGCCAUCAGAUGUGCCCAGAUGGGAUUAGCUAGUAGGUGGGGUAACGGCUCACCUAGGCGACGAUCCCUAGCUGGUCUGAGAGGAUGACCAGCCACACUGGAACUGAGACACGGUCCAGACUCCUACGGGAGGCAGCAGUGGGGAAUAUUGCACAAUGGGCGCAAGCCUGAUGCAGCCAUGCCGCGUGUAUGAAGAAGGCCUUCGGGUUGUAAAGUACUUUCAGCGGGGAGGAAGGUGUUGUGGUUAAUAACCGCAGCAAUUGACGUUACCCGCAGAAGAAGCACCGGCUAACUCCGUGCCAGCAGCCGCGGUAAUACGGAGGGUGCAAGCGUUAAUCGGAAUUACUGGGCGUAAAGCGCACGCAGGCGGUCUGUCAAGUCGGAUGUGAAAUCCCCGGGCUCAACCUGGGAACUGCAUUCGAAACUGGCAGGCUAGAGUCUUGUAGAGGGGGGUAG
rnacentral:rRNA from 1 species